AAGGAAGCACCUGUCCAUCUUGUUAACAGUCAAGACAGGUCUAAUCCUCUCUCCCAAAGCCUGACGGAGCACGGUCUCUGUUUGGACACAAACACCUUCGACACAAUCCACCACAACAAGGGCACCAUCGGUAAUACGCAAAGCAGCUGUAACCUCAGAUGAGAAGUCAACGUGCCCGGGUGAAUCAAUAAGAUUGAUAAGAUAUUCAUUUCCCUGUCUCUCUCCCUUGUAACUUUUCAAGGAUUCAUCAGACAUCUCAUAGUAGAGGGAGAUUCCAGUAGAUUUAAUGGUGAUACCACGCUCUGCCUCAUCUUGGCGAGUGUCUGUCAUUCGUACAUCACCGGCAACUUCUUGUGCAAUGAUACCCGCAGCAGCCACAAGAGAGUCUGUA
rnacentral:misc_RNA from 1 species